UGGAGUUUAUUGUACCUUAGCCACUGCUGUCAAGAAUGUUUGAAAUAUUCCAUAAUAAAAAGCUCAAAAAGUUCAUAUGAAGGUAAGUUAAUACAAAGAAAAGACUCAUCAUUGGCAUAUUUAUAUUCACUCAUUAAAACCUGUUUCAUCUCUUUCUGCUGAAAUUACUUCCUGUGCUAGCUUCACUACAGUCUUCAGUGCAACAGUAUGAAGAAUAACCACCAAAAUCAAGCAGUUGGUUGUGAAAACCAAAAAGGAACUAGCAGAUUCAAAGCAGGCAGAAACUGAUCAUUUAAUACUACAAGCAUCGUUAAAGGGUGAGCUGGAGGGCAGUCAACAGCAAGUGGAAGUCUACAAAAUAAGAUUCAACUGGCUAAAAUAACAUCUGAGAAACAAACUUCACGAACACCUGAAGACCUCUGCAGAGCAGCACCAGCGCACAAUGAGUGCAUACCAGCAGAGGGUGUCUGCACUGCAGGAAGAGAGCCAAGCUGCCCAGGCAGAACAAGUUGCUAUAACUUCUGAAUUUGAGAGCUACAAAGUCCAAGUUCACAACGUUCUCAAGCAACAGAAAAAUAAAUCUGUAUCUCAGGCUGAAACUGAAGGAGCUAAACAAGAAAGUUAAAGUUUAUUUAAAAGAAACAUGCAACACAGGUUCUUCACAAAGGAACACAUGGAAAUGUUAAUUGACCAACUGAAAAUCAAAUUACAAGAGAGCCAAAAUAACUUACAGAUCAAUAUAUCUGAACUUCAGACAUUGCAGUCUGAGCAUGAUACUCUGCUGGAGAGACACAACAGGAUGCUGCAGGAAACAGUGUCCAAAGAAGCAGAACUGCGAGAAAAGUUAUGUUCAGUACAAUCUGAGAACCUGAUGCUGAAGUCUGAACAUGCCCAGACAGUAAGUCAGCUCACAUCCAAGAAUGAGGUCCUCCGCAACAGCUUCCAAGAUCAAGUGUGACAUUUGCAAGAGGAGCACAGAAAGACAAUGGAAACUUUACAGCAGCAGCUCUCUAAGGUGAAAGCUCAACUCUUCCAACUCAAGAGUGAACCAACACAAGAAGUAUGUAUGUACCCAUGGAAGUAUUAUUUGUUCAUGUUUUUCACAUAUUUAUGUCACUCGAAUACACUGUUCCCAAAUUCACAAGAAACUUAAAAUUUUACUAGAUGGCAACCAUUGUCAGUUCUUUGAUUAAUGAAUUUUGAAUUUGCUGCUUACUGAGAACAUAUUUUAACCAUUUGAACCCUUCUUGGUUAUACUUAGAGCAGGCAGCCUGUUUAACCUCUUAAAAUACUGAU